AUUAUUUUCGUAUCCGUGAUAGUGUGAAAAGAAAAGAAGGUUCGACUCCAAGUUGUUCAAGAAUAGUGGCGCUGAGUUUCUCGACCCUUUUUUUUAGGAUUAGUUAGUUAAAUUUCUCGAUGUGGGACAGAGAAGGAAAGGGUAUAACUUAGCGGUAGAGUGUCACCAUGACACGAUGUAAGUCACCAGUUUAAGCCUGAUUACCCCUA